GUGUUACCAAAUUGUUGGAUGAGAAUAAUUUUAACUAAAAGAGUUAUGCUUUUAAGACAUAUUAGUGAAAACAAAAAAAAAAACGUACCAAGUUACAUACCUCAAUUUGGUCACCAAGGUUAACAACAAUGGAAUGGCGCAUAGGAGGCACAUCCACCCAUUGGCCAUCUUUGAGAAGCUGAAGGCCACUGACCUUGUCAUCUUGCAAGAGAAGGAUAAUCCCACCCGCAUCCGUAUGUGCACGAAGACCCUUCACCAACUCUGGCUUUGGGCAUGCAGGGUAGUUUGCUACCUUUGUCCCAAAAUUUGGACCCUUUGAUCCAUAAAAUGCAUUCUUCAGGUACCCUUUCUCUAAUCCAAGAUUUUCACAUAACAGGUCUAGCAACUCCUCUGCAAGCUCCUCCAAUUUCUUUGCAAAUUCCUUCAUUGCAUCCCUGAAUCAUUAACUCAUCCAGUUCAGACCAUGUCAUGUGUAGAUAUGCAUCAUAUCAUCAAAUUUGUCACCCAAAUCACAGUUAAAUGCAUCAUUGGUUUGUUAUUAUUGGUGAUGAAAACAUUAUUAUAUAAUGCCAUCAACAAUAUAUUUCAUGAUUCAUGUAUAUGCAUUUCUUAGUUUCACUUUGUCAUACCUAUACUCUUGGCAGAGAUCAGGGAUUUCAGAGAUGUUGGAGGUUGGAAGAUGGCGCAAGAAGAAGGUACUCUCCCAAUCCAUGUCCUUCACUUCAACUUCUAAGGCCUUGCUUGCGACUGCCUCCUUGAACCUGUUCUCCAUGCAUUUCCUAUAAUGCUCUUUUGUCAACCUUUCCACAGUAUCCAAAAGCUCAAGGGGUAUUCCAUGAUUCACCAACUACAAUUCGGAUAUAUAGCAGCAUAAUUAAUAUAGUUCAAAUGAAUAACAUGAAGAAAAUUUUGGGAUGUACACUUGCAAAUGAACAGAUAUAUAUAACAAAGCUUUUUGUGAUUUGGUUUGUGCGAUACCUCAAAAAAUCCCCAGUUCUGGCAAGCGUCUUCAAUCUGGUCUAGUGUAGCUUUCCUCUCCUCACCGUUGAGAUUGUCUAAGUUGAUCACGGGGAAGUUCUCCAUCUCUCGCACUUCUUUUCUUUCUUUUUUUCUUAUGACAAAUCUUGAUGUGUUUGUUGAUGCAUAUUGUGUGCCAUUUAUAGGAAUGCAAAGAGUUAAGUGAAGACAACAUGACAAAUUAAAAAUUCUCCUGUGUUCCUUACGAAUCAUUUUGCGUCGUUGAAUUGUCUACUUUGGGCAUCGUUGGACUCAUCUGGAGGCGAAACCAAACUUCCUUGCAUUUUCCCUUAAAUUGUAGUACUAAGCACGUGGUUUCUUCAGUAGGUGGCACUUGCAAAUGAAGUUCUAAAAUUUAUUAUUGUAUUUAUUAUGCAAGCUUGUGAACGACUUAUUCAGACGUCUAACAACCAUAGAUCUGCCAUGGUAUUAUUAUGUAUUUGAUACCCUCAAAAUUUGGGCGAGCCCUGGUGCAGCGGUAAAGUUGUGCCUGUUGGUCAUGGGUUCGAAUCCGGAAACAGCCUUUUUGCAUAUGCGAUGGGGUACGAAGUUUUUAUACCCUCAAAAUUUACCUCCAUCUAAUUACUAUAACCUACAACUUACAAGCACGAGAACAAAUUCAUAUUGUUUGGGGCUGAGGUUCUACCAUUUAAUUGUCUUUCAACAAUUUUGCAUAUAUAGCGUAUUCGGUUUUAUAUUUCAAUGUGAUUUUUUCACAUUUAUACUAAGACGUUUAUCGUUAUAGUUUUUAAAACGAUUUCUUAAUUUCUAAGGUGUUUCCCAACUCACAUUUAAUAAUUGGAUGCCAUUAAUUGAAUAAGUAAGACAAUCCUGGAAUUUAUUAGAACCAAUAGCUUACAAGUCAAAAGCACGAAGAAAUAAUUCAUAUUAUUGGAGUCUCAGGUUCUAAGCUGCGUUUCAACAAUUUUAUUAGCUUAUUUGAUUUUAUAUUUCAGAUUUGAUUAAUUUUUCAUAUUUAAGAAGGUUAUAAUUAACUUUCUGCAUUUUAAUGUAAAUUUUUUUUUAUAUGAUUUCUUAGUUUUCAAACACACAUUUAGUAAUUGGACGCCAUUAAUUGAAAAUUAUAUCUGGACAAAUUCUUUUUCAUCCAAUUAGUUGUCUUUUUUCUUUUCCAUUAAUUUGACCACUUGAGCAAUAGGAGGCAAAAAAAAAUUGUGGCGUCUAACUGAUAGCUAGGACAUUUCUGUUCUACAUUUCCAAGUUUUAAUAAUUGCAUAUUUAAUAAAACACAAACGUUGGUUUUGGUCAGAAUAUAUCUUGGCCAUCGCGGUCACUUGAGUCCUCCUCAUCUUUAUCAUGUUUUUUUGUUCUUAGCACAAAAAAAUUAUUAAGUGUGUUAAGUCCAACAUGUAAAUUGAAUAUUGUAAAAAAAAAAACUGGAUAAUGGGAGGCUGCAUGCCACGGGUUUGCGUACCUUGUACGUUAUUAAUUGUUGUGACCGUGGAAAUCAUAAUUUUUAAAAUUGAAUUUGAUAAAAAAAAAUGGGAAAGAUUUCAAAACUGGUGAGAAUCUGUCAAAAAUUGAUUAAACUGGUCUCUUGGUGGGGAAAAAAGGUCAAGAAUCGAUACAGAUGCAUUUUCAAUUUUUAUUAUUUUUAAAAAUUAAAAAUUAAUUAAAGACAAACAAAAUUACAUAUUUGAUAAAAAUACAAAUAGAUAUAAAUUAUUUUUAAAAUAUUUAUUUGUUUCUUUUUAUAAAACAUAUAAUUUACUUAUUUAUAUGAAUUUAUAAUUUUUAUAUCUUAAUUUCCUAAGAUUUUAUAUUGUUUUAAUUUGUCAUUAUAUUAUUUAUUUUAGAUGUAAAUUUUUUAUUAUUAAUGGAAAUUAUUUCAUUUUAUUAAAAUUUAAACUUAAGAAAUAUGAUUUGUUUGUUUUAUUUAUACUUUGAACGUUAAAAAUUAAACCUGUAAAAUGACAUUUUAAUUAUUGUAAUUUUUAUCGUUAAAAAAUAUUAUAUUAUUUUAUUUAGGCUAAUUUUUUUAGUCUAUGUAAUUUGGUCAUUUUGCUUUUCUAGUGCCAAAAAACUACAUGGCAAUUAGAAUGUCAAGUUAUCAUAUUAUGUGUUAUUGAAGGUCUAUUUAUCAUCUUAAUUAGAGUGAUCUCUUAUCUUAAUGACAUUUUCUCCAUCACAAAUUUCAAACCAACAAAGCAGUUUUUCUAUUUGGUCAUUAACGUUAAUUGAGCCCUAAAUCUGUUCGUAUUAUGGUAGCUUUUGCUCAAAGUUUAAUUUUGAAAUUCCUAAUAACAAAAACUGCAACUCUAAGCACAUAAUUGAUGAGCCUAAUCUAACUCAAUCUAACAAAACAUACUCUGCAGCGGUUUAACCCCAGAUUGAGAAUCACCAAGGAGUAGGGAAACCUGAAAUAACAUGUCUGCAUGGUCUUUUUCUGCAACUGCAACGCAUGAAGUAUGGAACAAAAACUUUAGCUCUUUUUCUGCUUUAUCUUUUUCCCCCCGCUUUAGUUCAGUUACAGAGAGUGACAAGGCGCAAAAAAGAGAAAGGAAAUGCCACAGCUACGAAUGCAACAUUUCAAAAAAGGAAAAAAAAAAAAAAAAGAUAACUGAAGGUGUGUUGCACGACAUGAUAUAUAGCUAGCUACCGAAUUGAAUGAAAAACAAGCAAAGUAAUUAUGCUUUUUAUUUUUCUUUGCUGGUUAUUAGCUACAGUUUCAUUGGUGUCAUAAUUCAUAGCAGUCUCGAACGAAGAUGACUACUAACUAACAUUAUUCUUCCCGUGUGACCUAGAAAAAGUGACGAUAGCGUAACAUGUGAAGUUGAAGUUUCAAAUCAAUUCCCUUUUUGGUAUUAAUAUAAGAUAGAUGCAUGCAACUAAUUAAUAGUAUACAAUAACGCAUGCAUUGCAUUGUGAGUACUUUAUAUCCUCAUUAUUUGAAGUUAGCUCUAGUAAUUUGAUCGAGUACUAUGAAUCCUAGAGGUUUGGAGGGAGCAGGAAGAGGAAGAGGAAGAGGAAGAGUCACAACCCUUCUGAUUAAGUGCACGUUGGCAGGUAAAUGGGAAGGGGUUAUCGACAUGUACCGUAAUUUCCCAACGUGUCAGAUCACAAAGAUCACCGAGUCCCUGGGCACUGCACUGCACGUGGCCGUAGACAUGAACAAAGAAGAUGCGGUUGAAGCCCUCGUGAACCAAAUCAUCGAACAUCUGUAAUAUUUUUUUUUUAUCGGCAAAUGUUAAUUUAUUAAGAAUGUUAGUUUUCUUCUUUUCUUCUCGGUCGAUUUAAUCAUCAAACACACCUUGUAUCUUUAUCAGCCAUCAUGCAGAAACCAAUCCUCUGGAAGUGAAGAACAAGAGCGGUGACACCCCUCUACAUGUUGCGGCAUCGAGGGGGUUCGCCAAAAUAUGUAAGAUAAUCAUUGGAAAGCAUAAUGAGAGGAAGAGUUUGGUGAGUCAAAGAAACAACCGUGGGGAGACACCUCUCUUUCAAGCUGUUAUCAACGGCCACAGCCAGGCAUUUUGCUAUCUGUCUAGCAUUUCCCACGACAACAUGGCAGAUCUUGUGCGAGACAACAAAGAUACUAUUCUUCACUGUGCUAUCAGCAACGAAUAUUUCGGUAUCUAAUACUUAUACCUAUAUUUUCUUCUGAGCCUUAUCCAAAAUCCUAAUUUGUACAACAAUAAAUACGUGCUAUAAUGUUUUUUUCUUUUGUCUAUCUGUUUCUUGUAGUCAUUUAUUAUAUGUCAUAAUAAUGAUAAAGAUAAAUACAAAAAUUAAUGUUACUAAUACCUAUAUCACGAUGAUAUUGUGGGGUAUGGAGCCUACGAACAUCUAGUAAUUCUAAAUCACACGGUAUUUCUUCUUCUUCUUGCUUGAAAUUAAUUAUAUUGUAUGAAAUUAUCAUGUGCCUAUAGUGCUAAUUAGUGUCUAUAUGACAUGUAGUUAGUUUUAUUAACUUUUUCUCGCAAAUUAAUGAGGGUCAUCGAUCACCAUGGACUAGACCCCACUGACUUUUUAGACACUUCCAAAUAUAGUAUACAUGAAAAAAAAAUCAAUUUAUUUUUCCCCACAUCUCUAAAAUAGAUAUUUUUAGUAUUUUUUAAUUUAAAUAUAUAAGUAUUAUUUCUACAACUUAAAGUUUUUCGAUUUGUCAUUGAUCAUCAUAUAUUUAUAUAUUUAUUGUUGUUGUCAAUCUCUAUGUUACAUCCAAUCAUGUAAAAAAUGUGGUUACAUAUAAUAUAAAGAUUGAUCCACUUAAGGCAAGUAAUAGUUUUACAUCAUACAAUAAUUUCUUAGAGAUUAAUUCACAUUGUGGUGACAUAUAUAUUAGUCUAACAUCAUACAAUAUUUUUUUUUCUUAUAUAUAUAUAUAUAUUGACCUAUCCUUAACAUCAAAGUUCGAAAUGAUGAGCAGUUGUUGUUGUUAAGGAUUAAUUUUUUUUUGUUUUAUAAUUUAAUUACUAUACACAUAUGCUAUGCAGAUUUGGCCCUCAUAAUAGUGCAUUAUUAUGGUUUCCUUAUCAACAAGCAUAAUAAAGAGAAGUUGACUCCUCUCGAUGUCCUAGCCACCAGACCAUCGGCCUUCAAAAGUGCAAGCAAACACCACUCAUUGUGGAAGCAAAUCCUGUACAACUGUAAGUAAGAUACAAUCUAUCAGUAUUUUAUGAAAUUAUAAUUAAUCAUCAGGUAUAACCAUUUUUAAUAAAUAAAUAAUAUACACUAAGUUUGAACAAAAAAAUUGUAACCAGAAAAAAUAUGAAGAGAAAAGAGACAAGUAUAUAAAUGAUAUGAAUUAGAGAAGUAUAAUUUUUUAAAAUGUGCACAUUCACGAAUCAUGAAUACAAGGUCGUCCUUGUGUAAAAAAAUCUAUUUACUGUAUUCUUCUUUUGUCAAAAAGGUAUACUUGUAGAACCACGUCUGGACGUUGAAAGGCAAAUAGAGGCGAAUUUGGCAGAGAUGGAUAAGCCUACAGAGUCUGAUGAACUGAAUUAUCCAAAGAACUACGCCACAUUAUAUGAAUUCUUUGCUCGAUCGUUGAGUCUCGCUAUUGGUAUACUAUAUGUGAACAGCUUCUCAUGGCAGUCCCGUUUUUCUUUAUUAAUACUUAACUAUACUUACUGAAACUUAUUUUAUUAUAUGUCUUCAUAGAUGAUAGCUAGAUACAGAAGUAAUUAUUUGUUUUGUUUUGUUUUUGGAGAUAGUUUAUCAAAACUCAAAAUCAUCUACUACUACUACUACGUACGUACUUCGAUCUCACACAUCUUUCUUUUGGUCAGGCAAAAUGUCUUGGCAAAACAAACAGGUUGACACAGAAAACCCACCAAUCAAUGAACAGUUUGGAUUUGGACUUUUGCCACCUAAUUAUAACACCUUUCAACAGUUUGUUAGGUCUGGAUUUGUACAUAUUCUUGGCCUUUCAGGAUCGGGAGUGGGUAUGUAUUGUUUGCACUAGCUAGUAUAUAUAGUCUUGAUUUAUUGCUAUCUACUAGUACUUGUUAAAUGAUUAACACAAUUCUUCUGGCCGGUUUCAUUGCGCACUUGCUUUUUAAGACAUAAACGAAGUAAAGAAGACAAAAGAGAGGCAUCAAUGGGGUUAUCAACUCUUUGAGGAGCUAAUGAUGAAAAUGAUUGCAGAAGGGGAUUUACUGCCUGAUAGGGAAUUUGACCCAGCCAUAUUUAAUAUGUAUAGCGAAUACACACCAGAACAAGGUACUUACUCUUACUCUCUAUUCUAUUAUUAUUACGUUAAAAGAAAAAAAAAUGUUUCAAAAUAAUUAUUAUUUUAAUUUUUUAAUAUAACAUUAAUUAAGCUAGGUUGCAUGACAUAAUUAAGAAAAUCAACAAGACUUGUGGCGAUGUCCUAAGCUAAUUAAUUUGUGCAGAUAUGUAUGUAACUUAAUCUAAUUAUACACACACAAUAUUUAAUUGAUUUAUUAUAUUAAUAUUAAUGAAAGUUAUUAAUUGUUUCCCGCAAUAUUUUUCUCUACAUUUUCUUUUGUUUCUCUUUGUACGUAUUCCAUUAAUUUCAAUUUUGAUACCUUUAUUUUUUUUCUCUUAUUUUUUUAAAUUGUAGAAUUUCUUUCUAGAAGCUUCUUAUUUCCCCUUUGUACAUAAGCUCUGUUUUUUGUGAGCAAAACUUGAAUCAGUGUACUUUUUUAGGUGAGAACGGGUAGUAAGAUAUACUCUCUUUUUUAACUCCCAAUGAUUAAUGUCUCGGAGUACUAAGAGAUGGAAACUGAACUCACUAUACUCUAAUUGAAAAGAAAACCGGUUUAUAUACACAGAAAAAAGUUGCACAUAAAACUAAAGAGAAUCUAACGCACUAACUAACUAUAGUUACAAUGGAAAGUGACAAAAUAACUAAAGUUAACUCUGCUGACAAUAUACUCUCAAUCUAAUGCACAUGUUUCAAGACACUUCAUUAUUGAUUAAUACACUCUCCACUUAAAUAUACUUUAUUCAUAACAUUUAAUUCAAAAAAUCUUUUUAAAAUAUCUUUCAUAGUAUUUCUUGUACAAUAAAAAUAAAUCGGUGAUUAAAUUCUCGAACUAACUUGUUAAUUCUUACGAGUUCAUUUUUUUUUGAGUUGACUCUUGAAUAAAUUUUUUUUAGUAAAUUCUUGAUAAAUUUUAUAAACUCUAAAUAAAUUUGGUAGACUCUUGAGUUUAUUAUCAAGUUAAUGAGUCAGCAAGUUAAAAAAUUUAGACAAAAAUGUAAGUCAUUUUCUAUUUAGUAUUCAAGAUACCUUUGUUUAGUGUGUUAUUAUCAAAUACAAAAAUUUUCAUAUUUAAUAAUAUCAAAUACUUGUUCUCUAAUAACAUCAAAUUUUUCAUGAAAAUAAUUUACCAGUACUAUAACAUAUGUAAGUUAUUAUCCAAUAGUGAUGCAUUACUAGAAUUAGUUAUUUAAGUAUUAUAAAAUUUAUGAUUUAUUAUUUUAUUUUAUUAUAUUGUUAAAAUGUUUAAUUGAUAUAUUAUUUAUAGAUAUUUUAUUAUUAUUUUUAUAUGAAGUGGACUAUUACGAGUCGAGAAUAUAAAAUUUUUAUGAUUCUACGGGAGUUUGGUAGCCUUAAAUGAUACAUGAGAAACAAGAUUUAAAUAAAUAAAGGACAUAAUAAGAAUAUUAUUAUUAAAUAAAAUAAAAUUAGUUAAUAUUUACUUGAAGUUAAGUCUUUUUUUUGUUUAAAGAAAGUAUCUUUUUAAAAACUACAAAAUUAUUAGUGGAGUUCCUUAAAUAUUAAAUAUUAAGUAAGAAUAAAAAAAUUGUAUUUUAAUUAAAUUUUAACAACUAAUAAUGUGUUAAUCAGUUUAAUUAACUAUGUUCGAUGUAUAUGAAAAAGAUGUACAAGAUUUACCUGUCUUUUGACAUGGCAAUGGCAGGAGAAUGUAGCCACUCACAAGAGUUGGAAGAAGAAACAAGACCACAGGUUGAUGGCAACACAGAUACUUUAAGUCAAAAUGACACAAAGAAUGAAACUGAUCAACAUUUUGAUGAGCAGAACAUUGUCAUAAUAAGAAGUGAGAUCCAUAAUUUGUGUGUCUGCGUGUGUGUGAAUCACUAUGAAGAAGCGAAUCAACAUUUACCUCUCUCUUUGUUUGACUUGACACUGGUAGGAGAAAUCACUCGCUCGGAAGUGUUGGAAGAAAAAAGAAAACCAAAGGUUGAUGGCAGAAUAGAAACUCUAUGUCAAAGUGAAGCAAGGAAGGAAGUUGAACAACAUGCUGAUGAGAAGAACAUUUUCAUAAUAAGAAGUGAGACUCAUAAAAUUUUGUGUUUUUAAAUAAAUUUUAACUAAUUAUAAAGAGUGUGUUGUUAGAAUCUAUUUUCCUGGAUUAUAUAUGUUCGACAUGUAUGAAGAAGAGGAGUAACAUUUAUCUCUCAUUGUUUUACUUGGCAUUGGCAGGAGAAACCAAAUGCUUGGAAUUGUUGGAAGAAGAAAGAAAACCAAAAGCAAAAACUUCAAGUGACAUACUAGAUGAUGACACAGUUUUGGUUGCAGCAAGAAAUGGCAUAGUUGAAAUAGUGAAUGAAAUUUUAACUCAAUUUAUAAGUGUCUUCUAUACAACUAACUCACAGGAAGAAAAUAUUUUGCUUGUCGCAGUGAGGAACAAGAAACCUCUUGUAGUUGAAAAUUUGAGAAAGAAAUUUCAAAAGGAAUACCCAGAAGUUUGGAAUACCUUAACUCUGGCAGUAAACAAGGAUGGGAAGACCAUGUUGCACAUGGCAGCAUAUGCUUCAGAAGAGUAUAAGCCUUGGCAAAUAUCUGGUUCCGCCUUACAGUUGAUGUGGGACGUAAAUUGGUUUCAGGUAUAAUAUUUUAAGUUUAAUUUCCAUGGACUUUCGCAGUAGAGAUUUUUACAUUGAAAAAAACUUACACACAGUUCUUUAGGUGUUAUAUGUGCUAUUCUCCAAUUAGAGUUGUAUUAAAAAAAUUAUACAUAUUACCAAGAUGAAACUCAAAUUCUAAUUGGACAACAACAUGUACAACACCUAUAAUUUUAUAUUGUUAUCAAUCACAAAAUAUUUGUAUACGAAUCGAGAAAAAAAAUCAUCUAUCUUAGUACAAACCUUUAAAAAUAAGAAUCAGAUUAAAAGAAUGUGACAAUUUUGUAACUAUGCCACAAAAUAACCACCCUAUGUACAUAAGUUGAUGCUUUUAUUUUACCUUGAAGCAGUAUAUUAAGAGCCUUGUGCCAGAACACUAUCAUCUUAGAAGCGACAAGAACAAUCAAACCGCAGAUGAAAUCUUCAAGGAAGAACAUAAAGAACUUAGGAAGGAGAGUAGCGAGUGGCUGAAGGAGACAUCUGAAUCUUGCUCUGUUGUGGCUGCCCUUGUUGCCGGUGUUUCCUUUGCUACGGCAGCCACCAUCCCCGGUGGCAACGACGAUAAAGGGUAUCCUCAUCUAGAAGACAAGCCUGCAUUCCACGCAUUUGUUAUUUCUUCAGUAGUUGGACUUGGCUUCUCACUCACUGGACUCAUUAUGUUCCUCACUAUACUCACUUCUCGAAAGCUAUACCGAGCGUUUCGCAUAGAUUUGCCACUCAAACUUCUUCUUGGCUUAAGUUCUCUUUUCGUAUCCAUUGUUGCAUUGAUUCUUUCUUUCUGCACCAGCCAUUCUUUUCUGUUCACUCACAAAUACAAGACAGUUAUAUUCCCCAUUUAUGUAGCCACUUGUUUACCUGUCACUUUCUAUGCCGUAGCUCAGUUGCCACUCUACUUAGAUCUUCUAACAUUCAUUUUAUUUAAGGUGCCAAAGGCAACUAGUGAAGGAGACAGUUUAUAGGAGGAGCUUCAAUUCUACCAAAUCAUUGUUAGAUCUAUAUGGUUCUUAAUUCUGUGUGGUGUGCAUUUUUGUAAUAAACACAUAUUAUGAGCUACGGAACAGCUUUUGAAUUUUAGAAACUGUGUUGGUUGUGGUAUUGUGAAAUGUUUGUAGUUUAAGGAGAAAAGUUUCUGGACAUUAUUUGUGUAAUGCCUCUAAUGAUCUUGAUUUCAAAAGAAAACUUUGUUAAAGGACAUCAUGGGAACAAAGAAAACUUUGUUAGGAGAGACAAAUCUUACUUUGAUGGUCUUUAUAUGUCAAAAGAAAGUAGUCUCACUAUCAGUUAAAGGACAUCUCAGUGCAAAUAAAAAAAGAAAGUAAAUUAUAUGGUUUGGUUUGCAGCAGCAAGAGUAAAGAGUUUCUGUUUUAAGCAAGAAUUUCUCAAACCGUAAUCCACUAGUUAAACCAUUGCUACAAUGUACAAACACUCUUUGGUCGCAGCAAGUAAUUUGGAACCUCAGUUUUUAUUUUCCAAAAUAAUGGAGAAAAUAAAAGAUACUAGACCCAACAAAGAUGAGAGAAGGGGAAAAACAAUGCUUAAUUGUUUAUUAUAAGAAUAAUUCAUUAUUUAUUAAAAUGGAAGUAUUCAAAUCACCUGUUGUAAAAAGCAAUUGAAUAAUUAGAAUACAAAUAAUGGUUUCCUAAUUGCUGAUUUUUUUCUCUUCAAUUUUCCAAAUCAAUAAAAUUUCUUCUGGCAGUAUAUUAUAUAGGUAUAGCUCCAGUUAAGGUGUGAUGGAGUUGGAAGUAAUCUAAAAUGAGUUCACUGCCUUCAUGGCUUGGAAUCUGGGCUCCUUUGGAUGGAACUUUAGCGUAGCAUAGAGCUUCAUGUAAUCCUCAAAUACAAAUUUUGGGUACACUUGCUCUGUCUCCUGUGCCUCUUUCUCCAACAAUGCUGGUGCAGGGUAGAUAACAGCAUCACUGGCAGGGUUGUAGAAUGAGGCUACGGACAUUCUGGUCCCAUUCGUUUGGGCAAUCACACGAUGCUCCACACUCUUGUAUCUCCCAUUGGUAAUGACCUAUGGUAUUAGACCAAAAUGUUGGAUGAGAAUUACAAUAAAGUACAGGGUUAUGCUUUAGGGACAUAACCAUUAUUGAAAGAAAAAGUUACGUACCUCAAUUUGGUCACCAAGGUUAACAACAAUGGAAUGGCGCAUAGGAGGCACAUCCACCCAUUGGCCAUCUUUGAGAAGCUGAAGGCCACUGACCUUGUCAUCUUGCAAGAGA
rnacentral:lncRNA from 1 species